UGGCGUACGGGUGAGUAACACGUGACUAACCUACCCUCGAGUGGGGAAUAACCUAGAGAAAUCUGGGCUAAUACCGCAUAACACUUACGAGUCAAAGCAGCAAUGCGCUUGGGGAGGGGGUCGCGGCAGAUUAGCUAGUUGGCGGGGUAAUGGCCCACCAAGGCGAUGAUCUGUAUCCGGCCUGAGAGGGCGCACGGACACACUGGAACUGAAACACGGUCCAGACUCCUACGGGAGGCAGCAGUGGGGAAUUUUGCGCAAUGGGGGAAACCCUGACGCAGCAACGCCGCGUGGAGGAUGAAAUCCCUUGGGAUGUAAACUCCUUUCGAUAGGGAAGAUAAUGACGGUACCUAUAGAAGAAGCCCCGGCUAACUUCGUGCCAGCAGCCGCGGUAAUACGAGGGGGGCAAGCGUUGUUCGGAAUUAUUGGGCGUAAAGGGUGCGUAGGCGGUUUGACAAGUCUCAUGUGAAAUCUUCGGGCUCAACUCGAAGUCUGCAUGGGAAACUGUCGGGCUUGAGUAUGGGAGAGGUGAGUGGAAUUUCCGGUGUAGCGGUGAAAUGCGUAGAUAUCGGAAGGAACACCUGUGGCGAAAGCGGCUCACUGGACCAUAACUGACGCUGAGGCACGAAAGCUAGGGGAGCAAACAGGAUUAGAUACCCUGGUAGUCCUAGCCCUAAACGAUGAUUGUU
rnacentral:rRNA from 1 species